AUUUAAUGGAACCAGCCUUUUAUAAGUGUUCUGAUAUUUUCCUGUUGACCACUGAGUGACAAUACUCACUUCCUCAGCAUGCCAAACUUCUGUGGUCAAGGCUUCCCUGGACUCUCUUUGUUGCUCUACCUCUCAUAUUCAGAUGUCAACUCUGUCUGGUGCCUGAUUUGGUGUUACUAUGUUAACAGGAACUCAAAUAGCUCAGGAGAGAAGAAGAGCCUGGGUCAGGAAGCUAAAGGCCCAGUGGGGGUGCAGGAUGAGAAAGCACUGGAUGUGUGGAGCUGUGGGCUUGAAGAGUUGAAGAGUGAAGAAACAGAAAGAAGUGAUGACACUGUCUAA
ensembl:lncRNA